AUGCCGAGUCGGGCAGCCCAUGGGGGAGGCAGCAGCAGUCCACGCCGGUGAGACAGGUAACCGUUCGCACUCCUCUUCCACUCUCCCCAGUGCCACGCCCAGUCUGCUGUAUGUCUCUCGUGCACGUUGAGUUGCUGAUCAGCCGGGAGGCAUGGGGUCACCGAGGUCGGCGCACUGACCACUCCACAUCACCGCCCGCCUCGCCCUUCCCCCACCUCCAUGCUAUGUGGUCUCCCUGUCAUCUUGGAACAUAGCGCACACACCUCAACUGUUUUAAAUUGAUUUGUCUACCCGCAAAAUAGAAUGAAAAAAACCCGGUUUAUCCUCCGUUGUAGCAUUUUGGGAUGCUGAUUUCGAGCCAGGAUGAUGUUUUCUCCUGCAUAUUUCUCCUCUAUAAUCUGUGUGCAGGAUCAGAUGGGUGUUUCUUUUAGUCUUUCAGUUUUCAGUUUGUAGUCUGAAGUAAAAAACUGUGCACGACAGAUGCAAAAUUGUUAUAGUGAACAGUGCUACACCACCAAUACCUCUAAUUGUGACCACAAUGCUUUUCUUACAUAUAUACCACACCAACCUUCACUCAAGGAAAAAAAGGGUUCUGUCACGGUAUAUACCAUUACCAAUACUUCUGCAAUAUAAUAGUUCUGCUGUCCUAUGCCAUUUCAGUUUGUUGGUUGCACUAACUUACUGCAUCUAAUAGGUGGUAGCAGGCACAUGAAUCGAUUAGAGGGUGAAUGUUGGUAGAACUAAAUUACUGCAUCAAAUAGGUGGUAGUCUUAUAAACAUAUCAGAGGGACGGCCUUGGUAGCACUAACUUACUGCAUCAAAUAGGCGUUAGCAAGAUGAAUACAUCAAAGAGAGCGCGAGAGAAGAAUGAUCAAGAUGCAAGAAUAGAUAGGAGUAGGAGACAUCAGAAACAUUUGUACAUUCUGAAUGAUGUAGGACCAAAGUGACCAAGUUGAUCUUGAGAAGUGUGAGACGUAGAAGCUUCCUUUCUCUCGAUCGGCCUAUUAUUAGUGUUCAUCUGGCAGAUUCUUUGGGUAUCUUCACUUCAGCAGGAUGUACACACCCCGUAGAAUCAUUUUGAGAGGCCAAACCAGUGCCGCCACUAGCCAUCUGAUAGGUAUUGCACUUAGGUCUAGCAAGAUGAUGUUCUGGACAAUGUUAACCUCGGCAGAGGGGAGAACACAGAAACACAUUGACACUCCCUCUGGCAGCGACUUUCACGCUCUACAGCUUGGACCGGUGAGUCAGCCUACUUCACUUCUGCUCUCCGCACAUCCUGACAGGUAUCGAAUCUGUGGUGGCAGGAUAGACUACGGGAGCAUCAGUCACACAAGCUUAGGAACUUCAGCUGCGUGCUGCAUCGAUCUCCCCAUUGUGCCGCCCACGAGGUUCUUGACCGCUCCAGCAUCCAGAACACAUUCCCACGGUACACACAAGCUGUUCGAUCAAAUGUUGCAUGGCCACCGGUUGCCAUCAGUUGUUGUUCUUGGUUCUGUUCUGACUCAUCAUGGUGUGCCAUGCAAUCUAUCCGGUUGUUGAGGGGUGCUCCAUCUGAUCAUUGGUACUCUCUCUGUAGCAUUUUCUUAAAUUUCUAGUUUGUCCUAAGUCAAACUUGUUUGAAUUUGAGCAAAAACCUAUAGAAAAAAUGUCAGUAUUUAGAAAAUGAAAUUAAUUUUAUUACAUAGGACAUAAAUAUAUUAUAUAUUAUAUAUUUGAUGUUGUUUGUUGUAGAUAUUAACAAAUAUUUCUAUGGAUUUUGUGAAAUAUAGAGAAGUUUGACAUUGGACAAAAUGGUGCAUGGUCAUUUUAAAAUGAUCAUGGGACCCGUGCAGUGUAAGCUCCUUGUCGAAUGCGAGCGUUUUGCUCACCACCUCUUACGCCUUGGCCGCUCUUUGAUGGGAGAAGAUAACUAUUCCCUCCGUUCUUAAAUAUUUGUCUUUCUAGAGAUUUCAAAUGGACUACCACAUACGGAUGUAUAUAGACAUAUUUUAGAGUGUAGAUUCACUCAUUUUGCUCCGUCACUUAUUGAAAUCUUUAGAAAGACAAAUAUUUAGGAACGGAGGGAGUAGAUGGCGGGGAAAGGAGCAAUGAGAGGAGGGAGAGGCGUUGAACAACAUGAUACAGGUCAAUCUGGGCGCAUAGCAUGGGGAUUGAGGAAGGAAGCGGGAUGAAAUAUACAUUGCUGGCUCCGCACGUCCUCCGCAACAGCCCUGUAGCAUGGAGUGCUAGAAUGCUGCACUGGAGGAGAGUAGGGAGAGAGUUGUAUGUGGGCUUGGGUCUGUCCUGGUGGCACAUCUCAUGCAGAGGAGGGUGCGGUGUGGUGCAGAGGAAUAAAGUCCUCCACUCCAUCCUUGUGAUGGCGGCGUGAGCUCCAGCAAGGCCACAAAGUCAAGAAGAUCUUGCCUCAUUCUUGCUGGUUCUGCUAAGAAUGCGGGGGAGUAUAUACAUGAAUCCUUUGUGUGCCUUUAUGUGGGGACAGUUGUUUGGAUUGUGGUGAGGUGGUGAGUGGCUCCUCACAUGUUUCCCGGCAAUCGCUGGAGGUGGUACUUGGCCAAGGUCAGAGGAGGAUGGUCGUGUGCGUCAACUAGAAUAUAUCCAGCUUUGCUCCUUGUGAUAGUGUUCCUCUUUGUCACAAUGGAGAUUAAGUAUGCAUGUCAAUUCUUGAGUUAGUUUUCAUUCUAGGAAUUCUUGAAUUUUCACUAAUUAUUGUUUUCAAAUUUAAUUCUUUAAACACUCUCUGAUACCCUCCCCUUCCUCUAUCUCCACAAUGGCACACUUUAUUACCAAUCUAGGGAAACAAAUACACAUCAAUAAAGAUGGUUUUUUCAUA